rnacentral:tRNA from 1 species
GGAGGAUAUGCGAAUUGGCUAGCAGACUGAUUCGAAAUCAGUUGCCCCUUAUGGGGUUGCGGGUUCGAGUCCCGUGUCCUCCGCC